rnacentral:tRNA from 1 species
GGAGGGCUAGUCCUAACUGGUAAGGCGUCUGACUUGAAAUCAGAUGGGCGCAAGCCCAUGCGGGUUCGAAUCCUGCGCCCUCCGCCA